rnacentral:rRNA from 1 species
CUGGAAUUCACCUUCGGGUGAUAGUACGGUGGCGGACGGGUGAGUAACGCGUAAAGAACUUGCCCUCUAGACUGGGACAACUGUUGGAAACGACAGCUAAUACCGGAUAUUAUGAGAUUCUCGCAUGGGAAACUUAUGAAAGGCUAUAUGCGCUAGAGGAGAGCUUUGCGUGCCAUUAGGUAGUUGGUAGGGUAAUGGCCUACCAAGCCGAUGAUGGCUAGCCGGCCUGAGAGGGUGAUCGGCCACAAGGGGACUGAGACACGGCCCUUACUCCUACGGGAGGCAGCAGUGGGGAAUAUUGGACAAUGGACCAAAAGUCUGAUCCAGCAAUUCUGUGUGCACGAUGAAGGUUUUCGGAUCGUAAAGUGCUUUCAGGUGGGAAGAAAAAAAUGACGGUACCACCAGAAGAAGCGACGGCUAAAUACGUGCCAGCAGCCGCGGUAAUACGUAUGUCGCAAGCGUUAUCCGGAAUUAUUGGGCGUAAAGCGCGUCUAGGCGGCCUUUUAAGUCUGAUGUGAAAAUGCGGGGCUCAACUCCGUAUUGCGUUGGAAACUGGAAGGCUAGAGUAUCAGAGAGGUGGGCGGAACUACAAGUGUAGAGGUGAAAUUCGUAGAUAUUUGUAGGAAUGCCGAUUGGGAAGCCAGCUCACUGGAUGAAUACUGACGCUGAAGCGCGAAAGCGUGGGGAGCAAACGGGAUUAGAUACCCCGGUAGUCCACGCCGUAAACGAUGAUCACUAAGUGUGGGGGGUCGAACCUCCGUGCUCAAGCUAACGCGAUA